rnacentral:lncRNA from 1 species
ACUGACAGUUGUCAAUUCUGGUGAGAGCCUAUAGAGUGGACUUGAAAUUGGGUUUGUGACUAUAGCACGCUGACUCACAAAAGAAGAAAUAGAUAUACAUAUUUAUAUAUAUAUUUUUAUAUUUUUAUAUAUAAUUUUUUUUUCUGGGCCAGCCUAGAGGUGAAAGCAGUUGAUCACAAGGCCAGAUCAUGCCAUCUGGAUUCUUCUAAAAAGGUACAGAAUUAAUAAACAGGAAGAUUUACAAAUCAUAAAGGAUACUUUAAGAGCAGGAAAUCCCUUGUCAGGCAGAAAGCACUAUAGGCAGACAAUUCUCAUGUCCAAUGACUCCCACAUUAAAAAAAAAUGUUUCAUAUGAUUGAAAUCAUUUCAUUACCCAGCUCAUUCCUCUUAUCUGGAGGUAAUUUUUAACAGACUCCAGCCUCUUUUCCAGACACAAAUUUCCAGCCACUCUCCUUCAUGCCCCAAGAGGCCAUUUCAUAAGCAAGCUAAC